UCAUUCUCUAAUCUCUAAUCUCUCAUCUUUUCUCUCUAUUUAUUUUGCUUCCCCUCCGUUCUGUUCGCCUCUCUUCCCCUACUAACAUGUACUCUCUCUCUCUCGUCUCAAGUAAAGAAAUAAACCAGUGAGAGCUAGAGAAAGUUAGAGAGAGGAUGAACAUGAAGUAUGUGUGAGUGGACCUUUACGCUUUAUUGCUCGAUGGCUCGUCAAGGUCCUUUUACUGAGGGGUUACACCGUUCAAGCCACUGCUCGUGAUAUCAGCCAAAAUCGACAACCAAAUGUAUAGCCCAAGCUUGCCCUCUACCCCUUCUACUGUCAGUUUAUUAAUCUUGUUUGCCCCCUCCCCAUCUCUGGCUCCAACAAGCUUGCCUCGGAAGUCUCUAACUCCAAAAAAUAUUCUAUAGAUAUUGUGGUAAUUAAUAUUGCCCAAUCUUCAUCCUCUUCUCCAAGCAUCACCACCCAUCUUGCAUCCUCUUCUAUAGCCAACAUCCCUGCAUGUUCAAUUAAGGUUCACAUCUCCCCCUUCACCCUAAUUUCUUUAUCCAAUGGGGUGCCUCAUAUUUGGCUCCCCAAAACCAGCAAGACUUUGUUGCAUAUUUUUUCCUUAAAAAACUUCUUAAUAGAUUCUUUCUUAGCUCAGAGAAACGAUAUCAGAGGAAUCAUUGAAUGGUUCCAGUCUAUCUUCAAAAAACGACCACAUUUUCUACAGGCCUUUACACAAUGAAACUUAUCUCUUUGCCGAACGGAGCUCUCAUCCCUUCCAACAUUCGCCUUAGUCGUCAUUUUUUCAGAGACUCUCAGAAAAUGGAAUGAGUUCAUUGACGUCGAAUGAAAAACUAAGGUAUGACUUCUUUUCUGGGGUAUUCCAAUCCAUCUUUGGUCUGAUUUCGUCUUUAAAGCCAUUGGGGACUCCUACGGUGGCUUCAUUUCAAUUCACUGGAAAUCCUUAAGUUCUCACCCCUUAAGCCGCCUUAUAAUCCUUGUUGAAUCCCUUAACCCCGACUCCAUUCCCUACUCUUGUCCCCUGAAUUUUAAUGGUUUUGCAUACCACAAAAUCUUUAUCCAGGGGCUACAAACCCUGGUCCCAAUGAAAGGGCCUCUACGAACCAUGAAAGUUGUAUGAAAGGAAAGUAUAUAUUGCGUAUCAAGUUAAUAUGGAAAGCAUAUAUUUGCAAAUAGUAGAGUAUAUGUACAUUAUGAUAAGUCUAGGUAUAGUUUAGGUAUCUGUGAUUUAGUUUCUAUUAUUGUCAUCUGUCUAUAAAAGGCAAGUCUGUAGAUUGAUAUGAUUAAUGGACAUUGAGUCUCUUCAGAGAAACCUGAGGCUAUUCACAUGGUAUCCGAGCAAGGUUCAUCUUAGUUGUGUCAAUUCCUCAUCCUUGAAGCAUUAUCGCCAAUUUUCAGGAUGAGUUUGUUGCUCACCCAGUCGGUGCAACUUAUGUCGAGUCAUGUUUCGACUCUCUGUUGAGUCGUGUUUCAACUCUCUGAUCUGUCCUCUCUGUCGAGUCGUGUUUCGACUAUCUGUCGAGUUGUGUUUUGACUCUCUGAUAUGUCUCUUUUGCCGAGUCGUUUUCGACUCUCUGAUCUGUUUUAUUUUUGGGAUUUUUUCUUAGUAAUUUCUCCGAUCCACUAUCUCUCUAGGAUUGUCCGACUGAUUUGUAAGAGAUAAGUGGUGUAUGUUCUUUUGUCUCCAACUCAAAGCUCGGCGUACUAUUGAAGAUCCACUGCAUGUUUCCGCAACUUAGUGUUCAAACGUGGCAUCUUGAGUUUGAGGGGGAGUGUGAAAGGAAAGUAUAUAAUGUGUAUCAGGUUAAUGUGGAAAGUAUAUAUUGUGGGAAGGAUUAGUAGAGUAUAUGUACAUUAUGGUAAGUCUGGGUAUAGUUUAGGUAUCUGUGAUUUAGUUUCUAUUAGUGUCAUCAAUAAUUGUCUAUAAAUAAUAAGUCUGUAUAUUCAUAUGAUUAAUAGCCAUUGAGUCUCUUUAAAGAAACCUGAGACUCUUCACAAGCUGGACACAAGAAUCGUUCCCAACCGAGUAUAUCCCUCCUCGAGAUCAUUAUAAUCCAGAGCAACCUCAGCCCCAAUAGACUGUGUAUGGUCCCUCCUCGAGACCCUUCUCUUUUUUUAUGUUCCCUCUCCCCCUUUUUCAAUCCCGUCUUCCUACUCUAUUCUCUCCCCUAUUCUCUAACCUCCGACUGACUCUCUAGCUUCCCUCAUUCUGCUUGUACUGGCUCCUCCACUUCCCACCUCACCAUCCCCUCUCAUGUCUAGAAGAUAUAAACAACAUCCAGUCUUCCCGUGAGGGGACUGCCAAAGGUAAUGGUCCCUCUUAUCUUAAACCAUCCUCUGUUUCCAAGACUCAUGUGAAAGCCAUCGGUAGUUUUAAGAAGAUGAAGGCUACUAUUAAAGCUUUUGUGAAGGGUUCUCGCUCUUCGGCAAGGCUCCAAGCUAGGGAUGUCUUCAAAGGUGGUUCGUUGGCUGCGAUUGUGUUUCGUGAUAACUCGGUGGUGGAGGUGGACUCGGCUUCAAGUUCAUCUUUCAGUGAUGAAGAACGGGAUGCUGCUAUGAUGAUGGAGGACAUGUUCUUUGGCUUUGGUUCUGAUGGACUAGGUUCUUCCUCAAACCCCCUCCUCUCUUAUGAAUUUCAUUUCCUGGAAUGUUAGGGGAUGGAUAACCCCUGUAGGAAAAGGGAUGUUUUCUUUUUGUUAUCUAAAUUCAAACCUGUGAUUUUGGUUUUGCAAGAAACAAAGCUCCCUAGCCCCAAUGUCUCAGGGGUGCGGGAGAUUUGGGGUUCUGGUGCCAUUGGCUUUUUUUGUAUUGAUGCUUGUGGGGCUUCUGGUGGCCUGUGGGUCUUAUGGGAUCCCACGGUUAUUCAGAAUUUUGACACCAUUAUCAAGGAUAAUUUUUUGCUGCUGGGCUUCCAUGGUCUGAAAGUGGGGUUGAAUUGGGGUUUUGUGAAUGUGUAUGGACUCUCUAUUUUGGCUUUGAAAUAAGUUUUUCUCUCUGAAUUGAGCUA